UACGUAGGUCCCGAGCGUUGUCCGGAUUUAUUGGGCGUAAAGCGAGCGCAGGUGGUUUAAUAAGUCUGAUGUAAAAGGCAGUGGCUCAACCAUUGUGUGCAUUGGAAACUGUUAGACUUGAGUGCAGUAGAGGAGAGUGGAAUUCCAUGUGUAGCGGUGAAAUGCGUAGAUAUCGGGAGGAACACCAGUAGCGAAGGCGGCUAUCUGGCUGGUAACUGACGCUGAGGUGCGAGAGCGUGGGGAGCAAACAGG
rnacentral:rRNA from 1 species